AUAAACCAAUCUGCCCCGGGGGCAGAUAACCGUAUGAUGCCACAGUGUGGAUGACAGUAGAAAGGGUGUCAUGAUCAAUCACAACGCACUAACAGACUCCUUUUGAACUGUUGAAAAAGCGUCCCUGAAAAACAAGCUUCCUUAUUGCUGUAACAUCUUUCAAAUGAUGUAGUGAUCUGCAGUCUCAGAUGUCAGCAAGAGCAUGUCUGCAGAAGUACAUAGUCAUAAAACAAAAGGAAAUGAAGCAUCUUGGACUGUUCGUUUAGCUCACCAUCUCUUCUCCCCAUUGGCAGUGCAUCAUAAAUAUGUGAUAGAUGACCAGUCUAAAUUUAUAGUGUAUACGUGUCCUUGUUGUAACGAAAUUAUCACAGGAGAACAUGGAGACAAUAGUUUA